rnacentral:tRNA from 1 species
UCUCAGAUAGCUAAACUGGAAGAGCCCUUAGUUCGUAACCAAAGAUCCGAGUUCGAUUCCCGGUCCGAGCU